rnacentral:rRNA from 1 species
GACGAACGCUGGCGGCGUGCUUAACACAUGCAAGUCGAACGGUGAAGCGCCUUCCUUUUUGGUGGGUGUGGAUGAGUGGCGAACGGGUGAGUAACACGUGAGUAACCUGCCCCCUUCUUCUGGAUAACCGCAUGAAAGUGUGGCUAAUACGGGAUAUUCUGGGUCUGUCGCAUGAUGGGUCUGGGAAAGAUAUUGUUUCGGUGGGGGAUGGGCUCGCGGCCUAUCAGCUUGUUGGUGGGGUGAUGGCCUACCAAGGCGGUGACGGGUAGCCGGCCUGAGAGGGUGGACGGUCACACGGGGACUGAGACACGGCCCAGACUCCUACGGGAGGCAGCAGUGGGGAAUAUUGCACAAUGGGCGCAAGCCUGAUGCAGCGACGCCGCGUGAGGGAUGGAGGCCUUCGGGUUGUGAACCUCUUUCGCCAGUGAAGCAGGCCUGCCUCGUUUGUGGGUGGGUUGACGGUGGCUGGAUAAGAAGCGCCGGCUAACUACGUG